rnacentral:tRNA from 1 species
GGGGAUGUAGCUUAGUUGGUAGAACACUUGCCUAGUAUGCAGAAGGCCCUGGGUUUGACCCCCAGCAUUGCGU